UACGUAGGGUGCAAGCGUUGUCCGGAAUUACUGGGCGUAAAGAGUUCGUAGGCGGUUUGUCGCGUCGUUUGUGAAAACCAGCAGCUCAACUGCUGGCUUGCAGGCGAUACGGGCAGACUUGAGUACUGCAGGGGAGACUGGAAUUCCUGGUGUAGCGGUGAAAUGCGCAGAUAUCAGGAGGAACACCGAUGGCGAAGGCAGUUCUCUGGGCCGUAACUGACGCUGAGGAGCGAAAGCGUGGGGAGCGAACAGG
rnacentral:rRNA from 1 species